GUUUUUCGGAUCGUAAAACUCUGUUGUUAGGGAAGAACAAGUACCGUUCGAAUAGGGCGGUACCUUGACGGUACCUAACCAGAAAGCCACGGCUAACUACGUGCCAGCAGCCGCGGUAAUACGUAGGUGGCAAGCGUUGUCCGGAAUUAUUGGGCGUAAAGCGCGCGCAGGCGGUUUCUUAAGUCUGAUGUGAAAGCCCCCGGCUCAACCGGGGAGGGUCAUUGGAAACUGGGGAACUUGAGUGCAGAAGAGGAGAGUGGAAUUCCACGUGUAGCGGUGAAAUGCGUAGAGAUGUGGAGGAACACCAGUGGCGAAGGCGACUCUCUGGUCUGUAACUGACGCUGAGGCGCGAAAGCGUGGGGAGCGAACAGGAUUAGAUACCCUGGUAGUCCACGCCGUAAACGAUGAGUGCUAAGUGUUAGAGGGUUUCCGCCCUUUAGUGCUGCAGCAAACGCAUUAAGCACUCCGCCUGGGGAGUACGGUCGCAAGACUGAAACUCAAAGGAAUUGACGGGGGCCCGCACAAGCGGUGGAGCAUGUGGUUUAAUUCGAAGCAACGCGAAGAACCUUACCAGGUCUUGACAUCCUCUGACAACCCUAGAGAUAGGGCUUCCCCUUCGGGGGCAGAGUGACAGGUGGUGCAUGGUUGUCGUCAGCUCGUGUCGUGAGAUGUUGGGUUAAGUCCCGCAACGAGCGCAACCCUUGAUCUUAGUUGCCAGCAUUCAGUUGGGCACUCUAAGGUGACUGCCGGUGACAAACCGGAGGAAGGUGGGGAUGACGUCAAAUCAUCAUGCCCCUUAUGACCUGGGCUACACACGUGCUACAAUGGGCAGAACAAAGGGCAGCGAAGCCGCGAGGCUAAGCCAAUCCCACAAAUCUGUUCUCAGUUCGGAUCGCAGUCUGCAACUCGACUGCGUGAAGCUGGAAUCGCUAGUAAUCGCGGAUCAGCUGCCGCGGAUU
rnacentral:rRNA from 1 species